rnacentral:rRNA from 1 species
GAGGAAGGCGGGGGGCGUGCCUAAUACAUGCAAGUCGAGCGAACGGACGAGAAGCUUGCUUCUCUGAUGUUAGCGGCGGACGGGUGAGUAACACGUGGAUAACCUACCUAUAAGACUGGGAUAACUUCGGGAAACCGGAGCUAAUACCGGAUAAUAUUUUGAACCGCAUGGUUCAAAAGUGAAAGACGGUCUUGCUGUCACUUAUAGAUGGAUCCGCGCUGCAUUAGCUAGUUGGUAAGGUAACGGCUUACCAAGGCAACGAUGCAUAGCCGACCUGAGAGGGUGAUCGGCCACACUGGAACUGAGACACGGUCCAGACUCCUACGGGAGGCAGCAGUAGGGAAUCUUCCGCAAUGGGCGAAAGCCUGACGGAGCAACGCCGCGUGAGUGAUGAAGGUCUUCGGAUCGUAAAACUCUGUUAUUAGGGAAGAACAUAUGUGUAAGUAACUGUGCACAUCUUGACGGUACCUAAUCAGAAAGCCACGGCUAACUACGUG